GAUAGCCUCUCACAGAUCUAAAAAACCUCUUUCAUAAGAGAGAAGCGAGAGAGAACGAAAUCACUCUCCCUUUAUAAGCACUGAUUUACAAAUUUCUUUCCCUCUAAAAUUCUCAGAUCUUUGUAUAAAAGCCUCAAUUUUUCGUCUUCUUCCGCCGAAUUUCGACCGGGAAUCUCGCCUAAUCGUUUCCGACAACGCAACCCUAGAUCCGUGUCGGAAUUGCUAUCAAAAAGGAGAAUGACUGAUCAAGGAUUGGAAGGGAGUAAUCCAGUGGACCUUGCCGAGCAUCCUUCGGGGAUUGUUCCUACUCUUCAAAACAUCGUCUCCACGGUGAACUUGGACACUAAACUAGAUCUCAAAGCCAUAGCUUUGCAGGCUAGGAAUGCUGAAUAUAAUCCCAAGCGUUUUGCUGCGGUGAUCAUGCGAAUUAGAGAACCAAAGACAACAGCAUUAAUUUUUGCCUCUGGUAAAAUGGUUUGUACUGGAGCCAAGAGUGAACACUUUUCAAAGAUGGCCGCAAGAAAGUAUGCUAGGAUUGUCCAGAAGCUAGGAUUUCCGGCAAAAUUUAAGGAUUUCAAGAUUCAAAAUAUCGUAGGUUCUUGUGAUGUCAAGUUCCCUAUAAGACUUGAAGGUCUUGCAUACUCUCAUGCUGCUUUCUCCAGUUAUGAGCCUGAGCUGUUUCCGGGGCUGAUCUACAGGAUGAAAGUACCCAAGAUUGUGCUACUAAUUUUUGUGUCUGGGAAGAUAGUCAUCACUGGAGCAAAGGUAUAAUCUCACUUUCUUCUCUUUAGGUUUGUGUGAUAAUCUCCCGAGAAAUGCAUAUGCUAUGUCUCUCUCUAGCUCUUCUGCCAUCUGAUAAAAAACCUGAGAAUCACUCACUAUCAGAUGAGAGAGGAGACCUACAAAGCCUUUGAGAAUAUAUACCCGGUCCUCACUGAGUUCAGGAAGAUCCAGCAAUAGGUCUUUAGCCCCUCGAGGUUGAUAAGCUUGCUGAGAAUUUUGUCCUUUAACAAAGGUUGAUAUCUACUUUUAUGUUCAGUUUUAAGAUUGUAAUACGACUUUGUAAAUACACAAAUGUAGACAAUUCUUAUGUAGUUUUUUUCUCAAAGAUAUGUUAAAAAUUACAAACUCCCAACUUUA